rnacentral:rRNA from 1 species
UACGGAGGGUGCGAGCGUUAAUCGGAAUUACUGGGCGUAAAGGGUGCGUAGGUUGUUUGUUAAGUUAUCUGUGAAAUUCCUGGGCUUAACCUGGGCAGGUCAGAUGAUACUGAUGAACUAGAGUAUAGGAGAGGGUAGGGGAAUUUCCGGUGUAGCGGUGAAAUGCGUAGAGAUCGGAAGGAACACCAGUGGCGAAGGCGCCUACCUGGCCGGAUACUGACACUGAGGCACGAAAGCGUGGGGAGCAAACAGG